UCCAUAACCUUCACUGUUCGUUAUAUCUUCUUUCAUAGUAAAUAAUGAGAUUUCUAAUCAAAUUAGAUCUGAAUGAGACUUAAUCAAUAAAUUGUCUAUCUUUUCUCUUCUUUGAAGGGUGGUGCCCCGCGAGAACUUUAACCAACUGAAGUUAUGAUCUAAUAUUCAUAUUUUUAAUAUUAAUGUUUUAUAUUUUAUUUUGAUAAGCAAAUUUAUGGAAUGCCUAAAGGCACAACAUUCUAUGGUAACACUUUUUAAGCACUAGUGUACAACAUGUGUUUGAGCUGAAAGCUGCAGAAUAAAGUGACGUGUGGUUGAGGUGUUGGUAACAAGCAGUGAUAUGAGAGGACGCACAGAGAGGGAGGAGCAACACUGUCAAAGAGCAGAAAAGACCUCCUGCUGUGCUGCAUUCAAUAUCUACAGCAGACCUCAGAUAGUGUCUGUAAGAUGUUCCCUCUGCAUCACGCUGGAGUGUGGCCUUUGUUUCUCUUCAUCCUGAAAGGUGUCAGCUGUGAUGAACUGACUCCAGACCAGACUGCAGAGUUCAGUGUAGAAGGCAGCACUGUUACUCUGUCCUACAAGUUCUCCAGGACAAUAACUGGUAAUGAUUAUUUCUUCUGGUAUCGACAGAAUCCAGGACAAGCUCCAGAGUUCCUCAUCUCACAUUCUGCUUCAGGACAAAUACUAGCUGCUCCAACCUCUGGACUGAGGAUUAAAGUGGAGCAGAACCAAAUCCACAUGAACAUCUCCUCUGCUGCAGUGACAGACUCUGCUGUGUACUACUGUGCUGUGAGGCCCACAGUGACAGGAAACUACACAACUCUGUACAAAAACCUGUGGAGCAAACACACAACUCCUCAUCCUCCACUAGAGGGAGUCACUCACUGUUAAACCUCAGUGGUUUGUGAUGACGUUUGUUUCACAAUAAAACAAAUUCCAACAAUCAGCAGGUUCUGUAGGAUAUUUCUUAAAUGUGUGGUGCACCACAGGGUUCA